UGGGGAAUAUUGGACAAUGGGCGAAAGCCUGAUCCAGCCAUGCCGCGUGUGUGAAGAAGGUCUUCGGAUUGUAAAGCACUUUAAGUUGGGAGGAAGGGCAGUAAGCGAAUACCUUGCUGUUUUGACGUUACCGACAGAAUAAGCACCGGCUAACUCUGUGCCAGCAGCCGCGGUCAUACAGAGGGUGCAAGCGUUAAUCGGAAUUACUGGGCGUAAAGCGCGCGUAGGUGGUUCGUUAAGUUGAAUGUGAAAGCCCCGGGCUCAACCUGAGAACUGCAUCCAAAACGGGCGAGCUAGAGUAGGGCAGAGGGUGGUGGAAUUUCCUGUGUAGCGGUGAAAUGCGUAGAUAUAGGAAGGAACACCAGUAGCGAAGGCGACCACCUGGGCUCAUACUGACACUGAGGUGCGAAAGCGUGGGGAGCAAACAGG
rnacentral:rRNA from 1 species